rnacentral:rRNA from 1 species
UGGGGAAUAUUGGACAAUGGGCGAAAGCCUGAUCCAGCCAUGCCGCGUGUGUGAAGAAGGUCUUCGGAUUGUAAAGCACUUUAAGUUGGGAGGAAGGGCAUUAACCUAAUACGUUAGUGUUUUGACGUUACCGACAGAAUAAGCACCGGCUAACUCUGUGCCAGCAGCCGCGGUAAUACAGAGGGUGCAAGCGGUAAUCGGAAUUACUGGGCGUAAAGCGCGCGUAGGUGGUUUGUUAAGUUGGAUGUGAAAUCCCCGGGCUCAACCUGGGAACUGCAUUCAAAACUGACUGACUAGAGUAUGGUAGAGGGUGGUGGAAUUUCCUGUGUAGCGGUGUAAUGCGUAGAUAUAGGAAGGAACACCAGUGGCGAAGGCGACCACCUGGACUAAUACUGACACUGAGGUGCGAAAGCGUGGGGAGCAAACA